GGGGCGUGAUGGCUGUCACGCCCCCUCCCAUAGACUUACAUUGUGGGGGUGGGGCUAUGACAUCACAAGCUCCCGACGCCGUCUCCAGUGUUCGGAACAGUUUGUUCCAAACGCUGAGCUGCAGAGUACCCCUUUAAUUUCUACAGUUACAGUUUAGUUCAGAUUGCUCUUUGGGAAAGCUGGAUGGCACGCAAACUGCCACCCAGCUUAUCCAGUCUCCUGAUUCCCUGCACUCCUCACUGCAGCAGUGCUGCCAUUCUCUCUCUCUCUCUCUCUCUCUCUCUCUCUCUCUCUCUCUCUCUCUCUCUCUCUGUGUGGUAUUACAACUUGGCUCCAUUCACUUCAAUGGAACUGAGCUGCAGAACCGCACCUAACCUGGAGACAGCCAGGGAGCGGUUUUUGAAAGAAAGUAGCUCAGUUUUUCUAUUCCUGGAUAACCCCUUUAAAGGGGUAGUCCUGGGGAACUCAACUUAGCCCCUAUCCACAGGAUAGGAGCUAAGUGUCUGAUCAUGGGGACCGCUGGGACCCGCUGAAAUCAUCUGUAAAGGGCCCAGUUUAUAUUUUUAAUUGUUGUUGGAAAUAAAAAAAAAAAUUUUUCUUUUUUUUUUUUACAUUUUAAAAUAAAAAUGUAUAUUUGUGAAUCCUCUGUUGAACAAACCCAAUUACUGUAGUUUUUUAGGACCCAAUGUUUCCCAACAGCUGGAGACACACUUGUUGGGAAACUCUACCAUAGACGGUACAUAAAGGGGCUUUUUUUUUUUGUCGAAACACAAAGUGUUACAUACAUAUAAGAUGACAUCUGGACACUCAAAUUGAUUCAGAUUUCUCUUUGGGACAGCUGGGUGGCACACCUACUGCAUGCCACCCAGCUUGUCCAAUCUCCUGAAUCCCCAGCAGAGAGAGGCUGCUCAUCCUCCCUCCACUCCUCACUCCGGCGGCACUUCCAUACCCUCUUCCUGUCCCCACACUGAUGUCUUCCCUCACUCCACUCCUGCCCCGCCCUGGCCCCUUUUGACCCCAAAAUGAGAACUUGGGGUCCAUUGGUCUUGGCAUUGGUAAUGGUCUCAAGAGGUUGGACCCCAACAAUUCCACCCUUGCUUCAAUUAUUGACUGUGAAGAAUCGGUCACAAUUGGCCAACAAUAGGUGCUUCCUCCGUAAACCCCUUGUUGGUGAGUAUAGCUGUGAAAUUGGGGGCACAUACUUUUCUUCAAUAUAUAUUUUUGUCCUCUCUGUGUCUUUAAGUUCUUUCUGUGCUUAUAAAUUACGGUGGCCGUUUAACCUCGAUUUGCCGCUUUUCUUUCCAUGCCACACUCAUAGGAAUCUAGGAUGCAGCCAUAGGGGGCGCUGUUUGCGUAUUCUGCAAGGUUAACGAGUCACAAAAUGUACUCUUUGACCCUGUAGAGUUCCUAUUUUUGGUAGUCAGAGGAAACAAAAUGGCGGACAGCUAAGGCGGUGUUCCAUAACUAGGCUUGCUCGAUCUCGUGUCGAUGUCACAUGGGAUGAGUUGGGGUUGGGUAUAGGAGUAACUGUGCUCGCCCCCGAAUUUUUAGGCCUUUUGUAUAGUACUGUAGUAAUAUUCCAGUCUUCUAUGGUGCCUUGUGAUGUUAUGCUGUGUGUCAGUUCGGGCCUGUGUUGCAUUUUGAAUUCUAUUCCUAUUCAAGAUGUUUCAGAUGUGGAAUUAAACUUAGCCGACACGUUUCGCAGCUAAAAAUGUAUUUUUCUAAUAAAAACUUAUGGUAACAUCA